GGGGUAGUAAAGGUUUCGACAGGGGUCUUGCAGCUGGAGAAGCUAUCCGUUGCGACACGUUAAUCGCACCAUUAAACUAAACGCUGAUAAUAAUACUCAGUACGCAUUGGCAGCGUAAUCUGGACUCGUCCAGUUCGCUGUGAAUGACGCCGCCUGAGGCGGCUUGUCCGCUCCGGGGCACUCACACUUCGGAAUCCGGGCAUCGACUCUGUGAGAAACGACGCGCAGUAAGCUUUGCCUGCGCGGGCGUAUGAUGAAGCUACUGACCGGAUCAGAUGGUUCGUUAUCUCGUUCGGGAGGGAACAGGCUGAAGUAAGAUCAGCCGCAAAAACGGACUAUGAUAGUAGAAGGACAGGGAAUGGGCUUUUGGACACGGGUUCGACUCCCGUCUACUCCACUU
rnacentral:tmRNA from 1 species